CAAAGGCUUGGUCCUGACUUUACUAUCAACUUUAACCAAAUUUAUACAUGCAAGUAUCCGCGCCCCUGUGAGAAUGCCCUAACAGUUCCCUGCCUGGGAACAAGGAGCUGGUAUCAGGCACAUUAAAUAGCCCACGACACCUUGCUUAGCCACACCCUCAAGGGAGUUCAGCAGUAAUAAACAUUAAGCCAUAAGUGAAAACUUGACUUAGUUAAAGUUAUUUAGGGCCGGUAAAACUCGUGCCAGCCACCGCGGUUAUACGAGAGGCCCAAGUUGAUAGAUCUCGGCGUAAAGCGUGGUUAAAAUAAACAAUAACUAAGACCGAAUACUUUUAGCACUGUUAUACGUAUUCAAAAGUUAGAAGCCCAGCUACGAAGGUGGUCUUAAAUGUUUGAACCCACGAAAGCUAUGGAACAAACUGGGAUUAGAUACCCCACUAUGCAUAGCCCUAAACAUUGGUAGUGUACUACAACCACUACCCGCCCGGGUACUACGAGCACCAGCUUAAAACCCAAAGGACUUGGCGGUGCUUUAGAUCCACCUAGAGGAGCCUGUUCUAGAACCGAUAAUCCCCGUCUAACCUCACCUCUCCUUGCUUUCCCCGCCUAUAUACCGCCGUCGUCAGCUUACCCUGUGAAGGACUAAUAGUAAGCAAAACUAGUACAACCCAGAACGUCAGGUCGAGGUGUAGCGUAUGGAGAGGGAAGAAAUGGGCUACAUUUCCUUAUAUAAGGAAAUACGAAUUGUAUGCUGAAACGCAUUUUUGAAGGAGGAUUUAGUAGUAAGCAGAAAAUAGAGCGUUCUGCUGAAAUUGGCCCUGAAGCGCGCACACACCGCCCGUCACUCUCCCCUAAAAACUUUCUGUAAAUAACUAAUAAACGCCACUAAUAAAGGGGAGGCAAGUCGUAACAUGGUAAGUGUACCGGAAGGUGCGCUUGGAAUAAU
rnacentral:ncRNA from 1 species